AUGCGGGACGGGCGUGCGCCGCUCGUGCGCGCCCCCGCGCGCCCUCCCAGGCAGCUGGGGGGCGCUGCCUGGAAGCGGCUGGGGCUGGGCGCGCGCGGCGCUUCCAGAACCCGCUCUGGGAACAAAGCGGGAAGCGCAGGCUGGGUUCGGCCGGGGGCGCGGCCCCUAGAAAACGUUCUAGAUGCUAAGAGAUAACAAAAUGGAAAUGAAUGGACAAGCAACAAGGAAGCAUUAAAAAAAAACGGCUAAAGCAUAAA